rnacentral:rRNA from 1 species
GAUUAUGGUUCAGGAUGAACGCUAGCUACAGGCUUAACACAUGCAAGUCGAGGGGCAGCAUGAACUUAGCUUGCUAAGUUUGAUGGCGACCGGCGCACGGGUGAGUAACACGUAUCCAACCUUCCGUUUACUCAGGGAUAGCCUUUCGAAAGAAAGAUUAAUACCUGAUAGUAUGGUGAGAUUGCAUGAUAACACCAUUAAAGAUUUAUUGGUAAACGAUGGGGAUGCGUUCCAUUAGGUAGUAGGG